rnacentral:rRNA from 1 species
AUGGAGGGGCUGCCGAAAUCCACCUCAUGGAAGAGGGGGCGUGGAGUGACGGAGGUUGUCUCCCUCCUUCCACACGGUCGCAACAUCAGGAGAGGGUUCAACCCCCGUGUGGUUCUGCACCAAGUUUCUGUCAAGAAUGGAAUCUAUGAGUUCUGGAACUGGUUUGAUGAUAGGACUUGGAAGCAAAGGGCACUGGAGCUGGAUAGAUGCCAGCAGCCAUUCUGGCAAUGGGAACUUGCACCCAACAAAUUAAUGGAUGAUCUUGCAAACCUCAUCAAAUGUGUUCUUGGGCAAUAA